GAGUUUGAUCGUGGCUCAGAUUGAACGCUGGCGGCAUGCCUUACACAUGCAAGUCGAACGGCAGCACGGGAGCUUGCUCCUGGUGGCGAGUGGCGAACGGGUGAGUAAUGCAUCGGAACGUAUCCUGGAGUGGGGGAUAACGUAGCGAAAGUUACGCUAAUACCGCAUAUUCUGUGAGCAGGAAAGCGGGGGACCUUCGGGCCUCGCGCUCUUGGAGCGGCCGAUGUCGGAUUAGCUAGUUGGUGAGGUAAAGGCUCACCAAGGCGACGAUCCGUAGCAGGUCUGAGAGGAUGAUCUGCCACACUGGAACUGAGACACGGUCCAGACUCCUACGGGAGGCAGCAGUGGGGAAUUUUGGACAAUGGGGGCAACCCUGAUCCAGCCACGCCGCGUGAGUGAAGAAGGCC
rnacentral:rRNA from 1 species